GAGUUUGAUCAUGGCUCAGAUUGAACGCUGGCGGCAUGCCUUACACAUGCAAGUCGAACGGCAGCAUGAUCUAGCUUGCUAGAUUGAUGGCGAGUGGCGAACGGGUGAGUAAUACAUCGGAACGUGCCCUGUAGUGGGGGAUAACUAGUCGAAAGAUUAGCUAAUACCGCAUACGACCUGAGGGUGAAAGUGGGGGACCGCAAGGCCUCAUGCUAUAGGAGCGGCCGAUGUCUGAUUAGCUAGUUGGUGGGGUAAAGGCCCACCAAGGCGACGAUCAGUAGCUGGUCUGAGAGGACGAUCAGCCACACUGGGACUGAGACACGGCCCAGACUCCUACGGGAGGCAGCAGUGGGGAAUUUUGGACAAUGGGCGAAAGCCUGAUCCAGCAAUGCCGCGUGUGUGAAGAAGGCCUCGGUUGUAAG
rnacentral:rRNA from 1 species